GAAUGUUUUUAAUAAAACUUUAUUUGUGACAUUGAAAUUUAAAUUUUAUGUAGUUUUACAUGUCAUAAAAUAUUAUUCCAAUAUAAUUUAUUAAAAAAUGCAAAACCAUUUUAUUUGUGGACUACACAAAGAUAGUCAGUGAGCCAGAUAUGUGCUGUAGUAUUCUAACCUUUCUAGGACUCUCAGAGUCCUCCAUUGCAGAAGGCUUUGCACGCUAUACCUAGAAUUAGGAUACACUUCUGACCACACUCCCUUAACUGGAAUCUAAUCACUUGACCAUAUCUAAUUGCAAGAGAGGCUGGAAAAUAUAGUUUUUCUGUGUGUCCAAGAAAAGGGAACAUGGAUAUUGGUGAACACUAGCAUUUCCACCAUAAUCUACUCCUCCUGGUAACCAAAUUUUCAGUUUCUUCUUUUUUUCCCACACAUAGAUUACACUCAUUUUCAAAAUCUUGCUCAAAGUCUUGGGCCUCAAUAUGUCCUCUACAUCAUCAUAUCACACAUAGUUCCGCAUAGUCCUAUGACUUGUAAACUUAGUAUCUGUCCCUGAUAUCCACCAUAUCAAACAGUCCCAUUUGGUAAGGAUGAAAAAAAGAGACACAGCAGUUACUGUUUAAGGGUAAUUCAAACACUGUGAAGGCUGUCAGUCCUGAGAGCAGAGGAAGAUCCUUGAUUCUUCCUUGGAUCUGCUCUCUGUAAGGAACUCCUUUACACAUUAUUUUCUAUGGCCCCCCGACUCUACUCUCUGGGAGGGACCUCCUUAUCAUGUCUUACUUGGCAUAUCUGAAGUGAUUGAAGACUUCCUUAGGGCUGCGGAGCUUUGCCAGUGCACUGCCCACUGUUUGGGAUCCAGAAGCUGUAGUCAUAGACGUUUCCAACCUGUUCAUGGCCCAAAUUUUUAGACUUUUUCAGGUUUGUCUCAUUUCUGCUUGCAACAUGGACAACUCUUUCCUGAGCUCAUCUCUUUCUUCUAACACCCUGACAAAUGCAGACAACACUAGCUAGCAUAUACUACUACCAUUGUUUUCCAACCUCUUCCCCUAGAGGUAUAAUUCAGU
rnacentral:lncRNA from 10 species